AACGAACGCUGGCGGCAGGCUUAACACAUGCAAGUCGAACGCAUCCUUCGGGGUGAGUGGCAGACGGGUGAGUAACGCGUGGGAACAUGCCCUUCAGUUCGGAAUAACCCAGGGAAACUUGGGCUAAUACCGGAUACGUGCGAGAGCAGAAAGAUUUAUCGCUGAAGGAGUGGCCCGCGUCUGAUUAGCUAGUUGGUGAGGUAAAGGCUCACCAAGGCGACGAUCAGUAGCUGGUCUGAGAGGAUGAUCAGCCACACUGGGACUGAGACACGGCCCAGACUCCUACGGGAGGCAGCAGUGGGGAAUAUUGGACAAUGGGCGCAAGCCUGAUCCAGCCAUGCCGCGUGAGUGAUGAAGGCCUUAGGGUUGUAAAGCUCUUUCGGCGGGGACGAUAAUGACGGUACCCGCAGAAGAAGCCCCGGCUAACUUCGUGCCAGCCGCCGCGGUAA
rnacentral:rRNA from 1 species